rnacentral:rRNA from 1 species
UACGUAGGGUGCGAGCGUUGUCCGGAAUUAUUGGGCGUAAAGGGCGCGUAGGCGGUCGUAACAAGUCACUUGUGAAAUCUCCGGGCUUAACUCGGAACGGUCAAGUGAUACUGUCGGACUAGAGUACAGAAGGGGCAACUGGAAUUCUCGGUGUAGCGGUGAAAUGCGUAGAUAUCGAGAGGAACACCUGCGGCGAAGGCGGGUUGCUGGGCUGAUACUGACGCUGAGGCGCGAAAGCCAGGGGAGCGAACGGG